rnacentral:rRNA from 3 species
UCAGUCGUGGCGACCCGCUGAACUUAAGCAUAUCACUAAGCGGAGGAAAAGAAACUAACCAGGAUUCCCCUAGUAACGGCGAGUGAAGAGGGAAUAGCCCAGCACCGAAGCCUGCGGUAGUUUUACUGCUAGGCAAUGUGGUGUUUGGGUCGGCUCGCGGGAUUGCCACUCCACUCGAAGUCCAGCACUGAGUAUGGUUCCCUGGAUUUGGCCCAGAGAGGGUGAAAGGCCCGUGCGAGUGGAGGUUCAGACAUGUGAGGCAAUUCACCAGGCCGACCUUCGAGUCGGGUUGUUUGGGAAUGCAGCCCAAAGCGGGUGGUAAACUCCAUC